GCUGGAGUUGUGCCAAACUACUCACCAUUACUCUGAGCAGAAGAGAACACGGAGUAGCCAUCAAUCUUUGAAGAGCAUGGCUAUUCAGCUACCUUCAGAGGGUGUACCGGGUCCUUCAUGUUCCCCUGCUGGAGGCCCAUAGUCCUACUACACCUCACCCCAAGAAAGGAGCAAUGAAGGUGGGUUCUCCAGGCCUGCCUACAAAGGCUGCACAGAAGGAGUCAAAAUCAGAGCUCAUCAGGCUGAGAUAAAAGGAGCUGUGGGGGCCUUAGCAGCUCAGUUCCUGGCUAGGACCAGAGGAGAAGAGAGUGGAGUGUUCCUCUGUUCUGGCCACAUGAGCUCAACUGGCUGCAUUCGCUUUAGCUGGAAGGGAGAGGACCUUAGCACUUUAACCCUAAGCUCCACUACAGUAGACAAAGUGCCACUGACCACCACCAUGUCAUGUUGGACCUCUGCUGAUCAAGAUUCAACUGCACUGUGCUUGAAACAUGUGUGGCCACCUGUUGUCCUGCGUACAUUACUGGUAGCAAUGCUUUCUACUGGGAGGCAGAGUCUGCUGCAAAACACUCAGAACUUAGAUGCCUGCAAAGCCAAGUUGAGUUUGUGUUGUUUGCAUUCAAGGUUUCUGCUUUCAAUUAACUCUUAAACAAUUUGAUUAUCACUUGGGUCUUUUACUGAUAAACGGCAUUCAUUCAGUGGAAUGUGCGAAUUAAUUCAUUUGCAUUCAGUGCUCUUAAUGGAGAAAGUGGGCUGAGUGACUCAUAUCUUAGUCCAACCGGACACGUGCAUCAUGCAUUCAGUUACAGCUCUGUGGUUGGGAGAUAGGUUUGCCAUUGCUGCUGCUAAGCAUAGGGGAAUAUCCUCCUUCAUGAAAGCUUUUCCUGACUCCCAUAAACAAAAUAAUAUGCUUCCUUUCUAGUCUUCUAGGAAGGAUUUCACUUCUUUUCUCCUCUGCCAAACAUUUGUUUAAUCAAGCUAAGCUUUUGCUGUUAUGUUCCUAAUUAAGUUAAUGAGUGAAAUGUGCGGCCUAAUUUGGCAACAGAAUAUCCUAUUGUACUAUUGACUCAUCAAUACUAAAAGUAGCAUCCUAUAAUGAUUCAGUUUUUCAAGCUUUGAGUUUAGAUCAAAAGCGAAUGACACCUUUCGAAGACAUUUCUAGUGCAUUCAUUAAAAACAUGAAAACAAUAAUAGUUUCCUUUGCUCUGCAAUAGACUGCAUGCUGGAAACCAACACCUCUUAUUUGCUUUACUUCAGUUUAAUUUAC